rnacentral:rRNA from 1 species
UUUUCCUACGGGAGGCAGCAGUGGGGAAUAUUGCACAAUGGGGGAAACCCUGAUGCAGCGACGCCGCGUGAGCGAUGAAGUAUUUCGGUAUGUAAAGCUCUAUCAGCAGGGAAGAAAAUGACGGUACCUGACUAAGAAGCCCCGGCUAACUACGUGCCAGCAGCCGCGGUAAUACGUAGGGGGCAAGCGUUAUCCGGAUUUACUGGGUGUAAAGGGAGCGUAGACGGCAUUGCAAGUCCGGAGUGAAAGCCCACGGCCCAACCGUGGGACUGCUCUGGAAACUGUAGA